UCGGACCACUUCAAUUGCUUCAAUGGCAAGUGCAUCCGCCAGACGUGGGUGUGUGACGGCGAUAACGACUGUGGCGACAACUCUGACGAACUAGACUGCAAACGGCCAAACUGCACGGACAACGAGUUCCACUGCAGUACGGCAACUGCAUUUCGCCAGGUGGCGCUGUGACGGCGACGACGACUGCGGGGACAACUCGGACGAGAACUGUGAGCGUGGAUCAUGCUCCCCAAAACAAGUUCGUCUGCGCGGAUGGAACUGCGUUUUCGUUGCUAUGGCGAUGCGAUGCGACGCAGACUGCGAUGAUGGCUCGGACGAAAUUAACUGCACUCACACGGUCGAGCAUUGCCGCAGCGACGAGUUUCAGUGUACGUACGGACGCUGCAUUAGCGCCACCUACCUGUGUGACGGCGACAAUGACUGCGGCGAUUGGAGCGACGAACAGAACUGUACUG